GUCUAGAGGCUUCGGCAAUGGGGGCAACCCUGACCGAGCGACGCCGCGUGCGGGAUGAAGGCGUUUUCGUCGUAAACCGCUGUGUAAGGGGAAGAAUGCCGGAAUGGUGAAUUCCGGAGGGACGGUACUCUUACAGAAAGCCCCGGCUAACUCCGUGCCAGCAGCCGCGGUAAUACGGAGGGGGCAAGCGUUGUUCGGAUUCACUGGGCGUAAAGGGAGCGUAGGCGGUCGGUCAAGUCCGGUGUGAAAGCCUUACCACUCAACGGAAGGAGGUCACCGGAAACUGGUCGGCUUGAGCAGGGUAGAGGUCAGCGGAAUUCCUGGUGUAGCGGUGGAAUGUGUAGAUAUCAGGAAGAACACCUGUGGCGAAGGCGGCUGACUGGGCCCUUGCUGACGCUGAGGCUCGAAAGCGUGGGGAGCAAACGGGAUUAGAAACCCGAGUAGUCC
rnacentral:rRNA from 1 species